GAUGAACGCUGGCGGCGUGCCUAAUACAUGCAAGUCGAGCGAACAGAUGAGGAGCUUGCUCCUCUGACGUUAGCGGCGGACGGGUGAGUAACACGUGGAUAACCUACCUAUAAGACUGGGAUAACUUCGGGAAACCGGAGCUAAUACCGGAUAAUAUAUUGAACCGCAUGGUUCAAUAGUGAAAGACGGUUUUGCUGUCACUUAUAGAUGGAUCCGCGCCGCAUUAGCUAGUUGGUAAGGUAACGGCUUACCAAGGCAACGAUGCGUAGCCGACCUGAGAGGGUGGUCGGCCACACUGGAGCUGAGACACGGUCCCGACUCCUACGGGAGGCAGCAGUAGGGAAUCUUCCGCAAUGGGCGAAAGCCUGACGGAGCAACGCCGCGUGAGUGAUGAAGGUCUUCGGAUCGUAAAACUCUGUUAUUAGGGAAAAACAAAUGUGUAAGUAACUAUGCACGUCUUGACGGUACCUAAUCAGAAAGCCACGGCUAACUACGUG
rnacentral:rRNA from 1 species